rnacentral:rRNA from 1 species
GACGAACGCUGGCGGCGUGCUUAACACAUGCAAGUCGAACGGAAAGGCCCUGCUUUUGUGGGGUGCUCGAGUGGCGAACGGGUGAGUAACACGUGAGUAACCUGCCCUUGACUUUGGGAUAACUUCAGGAAACUGGGGCUAAUACCGGAUAGGAGCUCCUGCUGCAUGGUGGGGGUUGGAAAGUUUCGGCGGUUGGGGAUGGACUCGCGGCUUAUCAGCUUGUUGGUGGGGUAGUGGCUUACCAAGGCUUUGACGGGUAGCCGGCCUGAGAGGGUGACCGGCCACAUUGGGACUGAGAUACGGCCCAGACUCCUACGGGGGGCAGCAGUGGGGAAUAUUGCACAAUGGGCGGAAGCCUGAUGCAGCAACGCCGCGUGCGGGAUGACGGCCUUCGGGUUGUAAACCGCUUUCGCCUGUGGCGAAGCGUGAGUGACGGUAAUGGGUAAAGAAGCACCGGCUAACUACGUG